rnacentral:rRNA from 1 species
GAUGAACGCUGGCUACAGGCUUAACACAUGCAAGUCGAGGGGAAACGACGGGGAAGCUUGCUUCCCCGGGCGUCGACCGGCGCACGGGUGAGUAACGCGUAUCCAACCUGCCUCUGACUGAGGGAUAACCCGUCGAAAGUCGGCCUAAUACCUCAUGGUAUCGUCUGCGGGCAUCCAACGACGAUUAAAGAUUUCAUCGGUCAGGGAUGGGGAUGCGUCUGAUUAGCUUGUUGGCGGGGUAACGGCCCACCAAGGCUACGAUCAGUAGGGGUUCUGAGAGGAAGGUCCCCCACAUUGGAACUGAGACACGGUCCAAACUCCUACGGGAGGCAGCAGUGAGGAAUAUUGGUCAAUGGGCGAGAGCCUGAACCAGCCAAGUAGUGUGCAGGAAGACGGCCCUAUGGGUUGUAAACUGCUUUUAUGCGGGGAUAAAGUGAGGGACGUGUCCCUCAUUGCAGGUACCGCAUGAAUAAGGACCGGCUAAUUCCGU